rnacentral:lncRNA from 9 species
UCUAUGUGGUAGAGAAGUUUCUCAUUUUCCUGACUUUGCUUGGAGCCCAGGCUCAGAUACAAACUGGAGGAUAAAAGGAGGCUACUUAAAAUAACACCAGCUAUUUUUAUAAAAGUGAUAAAAUAUCUUGAGCAAGAGAGUGGCUCUUAAAACCAGCCGCUAUGGUCGCUCCUCUUGAUGAAGAAGGUUUAUUCUCAUGACACAUUUCAUAGCUUUAUAAUCUGGGCUAUUAGAAAACAGAAAGCCCAAGGAGCAUUUAUGACAUCUUAUAAGGCUGAGGUUAUUUUAAAACCUCAUGAAACCAUGGACAAAUAUUCUUCAAAAUCUGAAAGUAUGAUUCUGGGAGUCUGGGUGUGGAGGAAGCAGGAGCUGUGGUGCGGCAGAAGAGCGUGGAACAAAGAUUUAAGACGUCUGGGUCUGAUGGUUUUGCCUUCCAGGAGCUCAGUCUCCAUAUCUGUAAAAUGGAGAGUAUAUUCUCAUCUUCACUGGGUUGCUGAGAGGAACAGGUACGAAAUGCAUGUGAAGAUGCUUUAAAUGUAUACAUUCCUAGAAACAACACAAAUAUUUUUGCUUUAGUUAAUUAGACACUGAGAUCAAAGUUGGAUGUUUUUAGGCCCCAUGGUUUUGGAUGGUCUUUUGGAAUCACAGGUUGAUUCUGCCUCCUUUCCUGAUUUUCAAUGUUCUUUUUUAAAUAACUGAUAGUUUACAAAAUAUAUUGCCUUCAUAUUUUGAUAAUCUCACAUUAAUGAAUCAGAAGUUAACAUGCUGUUUUCAUUAUUUUAGGAAAAGGAUUUUCCCCAUGGAAAAUCUUAAUCAGAAUAAUAUCCCAUUGUGGCAGGGAAUUUUAAAUCUUUCUGUUGGAAAUUGAUUCUUUUGUGCUUUUAAAGGUUCUUCAAGAUUCUGCUAGUAAAAUGCCCUGGGAGGGGAAAACAUGUAAAUUCUUGCCUAUACCUUUUAUGCAUCAGAAAGAGAAGGUUUUCUUUCUUUCUUUCUCUCUUUCUGUCUUUCUCUCUCUCUCUCUUUUUUUUUUUUUUUUUUUUUUUUGGCCACAUCUGGGGUGUGCGAAAGUUCCAGGGCCAGUGACCGAACCUGGGCCACAGCAGCACCCGGAGCCACAGCAGUGACAACACCAGAUCCCCAACCUGCUGAGCCACCAGGGAACUCCUGGGGAUUUUGCUUUCUGACUAAACUGGUAGCUUAGAAUGAGGCUAUGAGGAUAGUGGAAAUCCCCACCCCUGUGCUAGGUGUUGUGUGAAGUAUUGCGUGUAACUUGUACUCUGUCAUUAUUAAAUACUGGCAUGCUGGCCUUGUUCACUGCCUUGCAUGCACAUGGAAAUGGAGGCACAGAACAGUUCAGUUAACUGGUUUACACGAAUGCAAGAUUACAAGACUGGUCAGCCCAGAAGCUGGGAUGCAGAGUGGACAUUAGGGAGAGGAGGGCUUUCCACCAAGAAGAAAGGCACCGGCCAAACCUCCAGUGCAGAUCUGCCUGGGAGAGUGCUGUCCUUCACAUCUGAUGCAGAAGAGACCCCGUGGACAGGGACACACAUGCAUUUACUUGGGAGUGUGUCAUGGGGUGCUAGGUGGUCUUGGUACCUCCCCCAUGAUGGUGGCAUUUGCUGCUUCAUUCAAGAGAUGGGAUAAAAUAGGUUUUUACUCCUAACUCCCAUCUCUACUCAAUACCUACAGUGAGAACAUGGGAUCUUUGUUCUGAGAUGAGUCUUCUCAUCUGUGAAACAGAAAUAAAUAGUAGCUGCCUCCUUAGGAGGAUUAAAUCUGGCAAUUCAUGUAAAUGUAUAGCCUAACACCAGCCCAAAUCAGGGUUCUGUAAUGUUAGCUGUUGCUGCUGUAAAUGUCUCAACUACUGGGGUUAAUUAGAAUGCACAAAAGUUGGAUUUCCUAGGACAACUCACUCUGGCUCAUAAAUCCUUCGAUGGCCUCUUAUAGCAUAUUAUGGACGGAAUGUUUAUGUCCCCUGAAAUUCAUGUGUUGAAAUGUGACACCCCCCCCCAGUGUAUUUGUGUUAGGAGGUGGGGCUUUGGAGAGGUAAUUAGGUCAUGAAGGUGGAGCCCUUAAGAGUAGGAUCAGUGAUCUACCAAGAAGAGACAUGGGAGCUGGCUUGCUCACUUUCUCUCUGCUCUCCACCCUGUGAAGAUACAAGAAGAUAGCCUUCUACAAGCCAGGAAGCGGCCCUUUCCCAGACACUGGAUCUACUGGGACAUUUGAUCAUGGACUUCCCAGUUUCUGGAACUGUGACAAAUAAAUGUUUGUUAUGCAUAAGUUAUUCUAUCCACGGUAUUCUGUUACAGAAGCCUGAACAGACUAAGACAUGGCAG